UUUUCUCAGAAAACCCUAAAUUGAAAGGGCACGUAAGAACUCGUUCAAUUUCUUCAGUACAAAUUUUUCUUUUGCUCUGAUAAAACCCUAAGUUGAAAAGGAGAAGACCGGAGGAAUGAAGAAUUGCAUUGAGGAAUGAUAGAUUUCCCAAUACUCGUUGGACCAUCUUGGACUCUUGGUUACUUCCAAAGGACUUUUCUUUUCGUGUGUCAUCACAUACUUUUGAAGUAUGGAUGGAUCAUAUGAAUCUUCAAUGUGUAAUGGAAGUGACUGUAAUGAAAUGCAAUAUAAGGGAGCUCGGUAUGAUAAGUUGUCUACAGAAGAUCUUAAAGGACAGGAGUUUAAGACUGUGGAGGAAGCUGAAUCAUUUUAAAAUGCUUAUGCAAAGGCUAUGAGUUUUGGUGUUAGAAACGACUACAAGAGAUUAAGUAUACGCAUAACAGGGAGAGUCACUUCAUUGCGGUUGGUUUGUUCUGCUCAAGGGAAAAGUAGUAGAUGAGUAACAAGAAAAGAGUUCGCAAGCCAAAGAAAGAAACAAGAUUCAAUUCCAAGUG